GUAGGAUGUGUGUGUGUGUGUGUGGUGUGGGAUGUGUGUGCAUGUAUUAAAUUUCAGGGCAAGGACUUUCUACCUGGACACAGCCCAUAGAUUAUGCAGCCCACAUCGCUUAUUUUCUGUAGACUCUGCCUCUAGGGAUAUGCACCCAGGGAUGUGUCUUUUCCAAUGACAGUGCGUUCAGUUCUGUGGGACACUCAUUCCUACCCUCCAGGUGAAAGAGGACCUGAAGUGCAUUGUUAGCAAUGGCAAGCUCACUUAAGCGAGCAAGGGUGUUCUUAUUUUUUAGUAACAAACUGAAACAGAGUCUCAACAGGAUUCAAUGCCUUGCUUGGCACUUCCUACCAAUCUGAACAAAGAAGCCAUCGUUCGAGGGUGGAGAAAACGCAGUGCCUGAUGAGAUCCGGGUCCCUCCCUGAGGAGCGUGGGAUCAGGGAGGAGCUUUCUUCCCACAGCUGCUGUGGCAAUGCAGAGGCACAGCUCUGGGUUACGGUGAUCUCUCAAUACCCCGUUCAGACAGGUUCAUGCUUGGCUGGUGGUGCUGUUGCCACUCUGUGGGGUGUAAGAUUUCCAAAGUGCUUUUGGAACCACUUGGUCCAAAGCUGGUCAUGAAACCAUCAGUAUUCCAAACUCAUGAUUCCAACGUUAUUCCCAUGAUGAAGGGCUCCAGGACAGCUCCUGAAUGGUGUAGAGGAAACGGCUUCCCAGCCUCCUGCAGCAACAGGUGAUCGAUUUCAACAAAACUAACAGGAGAGUUUCCUUUCGCAAAUAGAACAGCUGCCCCCGGAAACUUGUCUCAGGAAAUGGGUACUGUUUCUUCCCAAGCAACGCAUGUUCUUCCUGCUCUUCAGGAGCCGCGCAUUUCCUGGAAUGUGGCUACACCUGCCCAGGAGUUAG
rnacentral:lncRNA from 10 species